rnacentral:rRNA from 1 species
GAUCCUGGCUCAGGAUGAACGCUGGCGGCGUGCUUAACACAUGCAAGUCGAACGAGGGAUUUUGGAUGAGACUUCGGUGGAUUCCAAAAUACCGAGUGGCGGACGGGUGAGUAACGCGUGGGCAACCUGCCCUGUACAGGGGGACAACAGCUGGAAACGGCUGCUAAUACCGCAUAGGCGCACGGUAUCGCAUGAUACAGUGUGAAAAACUCCGGUGGUACAGGAUGGGCCCGCGUUGGAUUAGG